UUGGCGACGUCCACCUCUUCGCUUUGUUGGUAGAGUUUCCCCACGGCUUCACUGAUGGCCGGGUGCCAGGUGACGGCGCGGUUGACGGCUUCGCCAAGCUGCAGCGUGCCGGGGGCAGCCUUGCCGACGACAGGUGCCACGCGGCCAUUCAGAGAGGGGAGUUCCUGCGUUUCACGGAGUUGUCCGGUAUUGAUCAUCGCCGCCGGCGUCGCGGAGAGGGCGGGCACAGAUAUCAGGCAGCACGAGAGCCACCAGUAAGGCAUCUUCAUUCCCAUGUCUUAUCCCUAAUAAAAAUGUACUGCUUUAUUGUUUAUGCCCGGGCGCUGUGCGCCCGGGUCAUUU
rnacentral:sRNA from 1 species